GCGCCUGUAGCUCAGUGGAUAGAGCAUCCGCCUCCUAAGCGGAGGGUCGAGCGUUCGAAUCGCUCCAGGCGCA
rnacentral:tRNA from 1 species